rnacentral:rRNA from 1 species
GCCAGACUCCUACGGGAGGCAGCAGUGGGGGAUAUUGCACAAUGGGGGGAACCCUGAUGCAGCGACGCCGCGUGGGUGAAGGAGCGUUUCGGCGCGUAAAGCCCUAUCGGCAGGGAAGAAGGAGGACGGUACCUGACUAAGAAGCCCCGGCUAACUACGUGCCAGCAGCCGCGGUAAUACGUAGGGGGCAAGCGUUAUCCGGAUUUACUGGGUGUAAAGGGGGCGCAGACGGCAGCGCAAGCCAGGAGUGAAAGCCCGGGGCCCAACCCCGGGACUGCUCUUGGAACUGCGCGGCUGGAGUGCAGGAGGGGCAGGCGGAAUUCCUGGUGUAGCGGUGAAAUGCGUAGAUAUCAGGAGGAACACCGGUGGCGAGGGCGGCCUGCUGGACUGCGACUGACGUUGAAGCCUGAAAGCGUGGGGAGCAAACAGGAUUAGAUACCCCCGUAA